GGUGACCUGGCCUAGUGCCUAGUGGUACACCGUCUGAGCACCUAGUUUCCACGUAGUUACUCGGGGACGUGGGUUCGAUUCCCACGGUCACCG